rnacentral:rRNA from 1 species
AUGCACGGCAAGCGUGACCGCCUCAUCGGCGACCGUUGUCUUUCCGUCCUCACAGACGAGAAGCAGGAUAUAUGCGAUCUGCUCGGUUACAUCCAUGAUUUCUACAGGGAGGCGCUCGAUCGGCUUCCGUUGGGGGCGAUUCCCUCGCUGGCCCCGCGCCUCCUCAAGGCCGGCAUGCCCAUCGGCUUCCUCGACCCAGUCUCCAACAUCAUCGCCAACACCAUCGCCUACACGCCUGGAUCCGACCAGGACGAGGAUGAGGCGCCGUCGUCGGAGUGGAUCCUCUCCAAGAUCAUCACUGACGCUAACGACAUAUUCGCCUUCGAACUGCCGCUUUCCCGGCACAAGUCUAUGACCCUCGCGCGGCUGUCGCUGGACGGUCUUGUCAGCUUCCUCACCUCCCACUACCGCUACCUCGUCAGCUACCUGCUCCUGGCCAGGGCCGAUCUUCUCACCGCCGUGCGCCUCAUCGAGCGUGAUCGUAACAAGAGGUGCAACUCCUUCAGUAUUACCUCCCCUACAGCCAAGGUCGCCCUGGAAUGUGUCGCUGUGUCUGCCAGGCAUCCUCAACCAGACGUUCUGGUGAAAGCGUCGCUGACUAUGGCCUCUCGCCUGGCCGAUGUCACCGCGCUUCUUGCCGGACAGGGCCCUCUCUCGCCUGCAACUAUCAGGAGCAUCGCCAAGCUGCUCAGGAGAGGGCCUGCGAUUAUGGAUGACCUCACCAACCUAUCACUGGAUCAUCUUUGUGGUAAGAGGAAGAAUAAGAAGAGAAAGAGAAGCGAGCAGACAGCAGAAACCAUAGAGGGGAGCAGGGCACAGAAAAAGCUUGGUCCUCAGUUGACAUUCAGAUACACACUGGCUCUGAAGCUUUUGCUCCUCGGCAAGAUCCAUGGGCACUACUUGCAGGCACUUGCCAAGCUGCCUCGGGAUGGCUUGCGCAAGCUUCACCACUGCAGCCUCCUCAGGGGUGGAUAUUGCUAUGGACCCAAGGAUCCUGUCUCCAACAUUAUCCUCAACACCAUCUGGUAUGGCUCCAUGUUUCCCACGCCCCAAAAGUUUCAGCUACAGUUUAAGGUGGAUAUGAUAUGCACAGACAUGCUUGCACGCAUUGAGUGCUGUUCUCUUUACGGCCUUGUCACCUUCCUUCGCACCCGUCUCCCCUCUAUCUCGGAGCACGAUGCAAUCUGGUAUCUGUUCAGGAGCGAUGCUGAUGUCCACAAGGCCAUCCGUGAGGCAAUGAAGCAUGAUCAUUCUGUGUCUGGCAGUUACCAGGACGCCUAUAGGCAAGCAGCGGUUGCUUCAUGGCAUGAUGACCCUGAUGCGCUGGUGAAAUUUGCCAUGUCUUCCUUGAACAUGGAGUCCGCCCAGUUGUUAACUAUAUUGCAGGGCACACUCACCAACGGCAGAGUUGAAUGCCUGACCAUGGCUCUGCCACAUCAAUAUUCACCUACCCAGUCCGAGGAGCAGCCUCAGCAAGUGACCCAGGCGACCUCAAACUCACAUGUCUUGAGCAAAAACCAGAAAAGGUUCAUUUCAGAGUUCCAGAAAAAAUUCAGGCGCGACCAAAACUUCUUUGUCAGAAAGGUCAAGGUGGCAUUGAGCGACUACUCCCAGCAAAAAGGGGUGCACUAUAAACUUCAUAUCAUUUGCGGUGUGAAUCCUAGUGUACCGGGCGGAUCAAGUGCUGCUCUUUUUAAGAAGAGGUUCCCAUUUGAGUACUUCCAUAUCAACUUCUUGGCAACAGCCAAGGGACCAAAUUCUGCUGUUGCAGCUCCAGAACUGUUCUUCGCUCAAUGUAGCAAUAGCGUCGAAGAGAGGCGGAAGAGACCAUCCUGGUGCUCCCCUGUAUCAGUAACUCGCAUAGAUAAUGUUCGAUGCUUCUCUUGUGAGUUUAAUGGGGCAAAGAUUGUGCAUCCAUAUGAUGAAUCAUAUUGUGGGCGCUACGAAGAUUUCAAUAUUAUAGCUCAGGGAAAACAUGGCACUCCGAAUGAUCUUCUUAUCAGCUCCUGCCAUUAUCAUUCUGACAUGAUGGCCACAAUGACAGAAGAUUUUAUCUAUUUUGAUCCCAACAUGGACUCAGAGUUUGCAAAGAUGAAUCCUAUUUCUAAUGUGGCUAGGGAGUUGAAAGGAUUUAAGGGUAGAAUCUUCUGA